GCUCAACCGAAGAAGUGCAUCGGAAACUGGAAAACUUGAGUGCAGAAGAGGACAGUGGAACUCCAUGUGUAGCGGUGAAAUGCGUAGAUAUAUGGAAGAACACCAGUGGCGAAGGCGGCUGUCUGGUCUGUAACUGACGCUGAGGCUCGAAAGUAUGGGUAGCAAACAGGAUUAGAUACCCUGGUAGUCCAUACCGUAAACGAUGAAUGCUAAGUGUUGGAGGGUUUCCGCCCUUCAGUGCUGCAGCUAACGCAUUAAGCAUUCCGCCUGGGGAGUACGGCCGCAAGGCUGAAACUCAAAGGAAUUGACGGGGGCCCGCACAAGCGGUGGAGCAUGUGGUUUAAUUCGAAGCUACGCGAAGAACCUUACCAGGUCUUGACAUACUAUGCAAAUCUAAGAGAUUAGACGUUCCCUUCGGGGACAUGGAUACAGGUGGUGCAUGGUUGUCGUCAGCUCGUGUCGUGAGAUGUUGGGUUAAGUCCCGCAACGAGCGCAACCCUUAUUAUCAGUUGCCAGCAUUAAGUUGGGCACUCUGGUGAGACUGCCGGUGACAAACCGGAGGAAGGUGGGGAUGACGUCAAAUCAUCAUGCCCCUUAUGACCUGGGCUACACACGUGCUACAAUGGAUGGUACAACG
rnacentral:rRNA from 1 species